UUGAACGCUGGCGGCAUGCCUUACACAUGCAAGUCGAACGGUAGAGUAGCAAUACUCGAGAGUGGCGAACGGGUGAGUAAUAUAUCGGAACGUGCCCAGUCGUGGGGGAUAACGUAGAGAAAUUUACGCUAAUACCGCAUACGAUCUAAGGAUGAAAGCGGGGGAUCGCAAGACCUCGCGCGAUAGGAGCGGCCGAUAUCGGAUUAGCUUGUUGGUGAGGUAAAGGCUCACCAAGGCGACGAUCCGUAGCUGGUCUGAGAGGACGACCAGCCACACUGGAACUGAGACACGGUCCAGACUCCUACGGGAGGCAGCAGUGGGGAAUUUUGGACAAUGGGGGCAACCCUGAUCCAGCCAUUCCGCGUGAGUGAAGAAGGCCUUCGGGUUGUAAAGCUCUUUCAGCAGGAACGAAACGGUGGCUACUAAUACUAGCUACUAAUGACGGUACCUGAAGAAGAAGCACCGGCUAACUACGU
rnacentral:rRNA from 1 species